AUUAGUGAUUACACCCACUAACACCACUCCACUAAAGGGGAAUGAAUCCACUGCCACUUUUAUCUUUGUCUUCAAGUUUCUGCCAACUAUUGUUGAACAGCUGUGGAGGUGUCUUUGUUUGCAUUUAAUGAAGUCCCUUUUAAGCUUUAACAGCUUGUUUGAAGGGCCUUUCAUAGCUGGAAGAACAACUAAAACUCCACUCUUCGUACACUUUUUUUUUUUUUUGAAGUUUGCCUAUAAAUAGAGACAAUGUUGCCACUCUUCCUCAUUCACCAAUUCCCUUAGUAGUAGAUUUCAGUAGCCGUUCACAUUUCCGCUACUAACAGUAGGAAAUUUCCUCUUCUUUCUUUCCGAUUUCUUCUCUCCACCUUGAUCUUCUCUUAACCUUGCAGUAGAUUAUCUUCUCCAUAUAUAUUUUAGAGAUAGAACUAUGUCACUUCACUCUUUCUCUUUUUGUUUGUUUUAGCUUCAACGCCGGAAUGUCGUCGGCGACGAACUUACAAUGCCUUGCUUUUAUUUGAUGUUCAGCUCUUUUCCGGCGAAGUUACUACCGUAACGGAGUAGAGGUUCGAGCUCGGAGCUGCUACGGUGUUGGUGAUGGAAAGGCGUAAGCUUUGGGUCGGCGAAGGAACAAUGUCGGCAGCGACGUGACCGUGCUUCAUCAAGCUAUUGUCCUCUACGAGAAAAGCGCAGAAUCUGGCGGAUACAACAAAGCACAAGCUCGUGGUUUGGGUGACUAACAUGGUGGAGUGAGUUGCUUUGAUCGCAUCGAGCGUGGAGAGAAGCGGCAGUGAGAGCGGAGACCGCUGCUACUAAUGGCGGGAGAUGGAGACGGCUUCUUGCCGGAUUUCAGGAACCACUAGGCACGAGGGUGCAG